GGACUGUAGCUCAGUGGUAGAGCGCUGGUCUCGCAAAUGUGAGGCACUAGGCUCGAUCCUCAGCACCA
rnacentral:tRNA from 1 species